rnacentral:tRNA from 1 species
AGUUAAUGAACUUGUAAAAGUAUGUGUCUUGAAAACACAAAAAAGAAUUAAACCUUCUAUUAACUU